UUAGGCGGUUCUAAUUACACUAAAGGGUUGGGUAACAAUGGUGAGGGAAAGUAAGUGCUCUGCUAAUAAUAACACUAACACUAAUGCAGCCGGAACCAUCAAACUUUUUGGUGCUUAUUUACAGAAUAAUGUUAAUGAAGUUGCUGGUAACGUCGAGAAGAACAAUAAUGUUCAACGCAACGCUGUUAAUCAGAAAAAGAAAAGGGAAGCGAUGGACUGAGGAAGAGCAAGUUUGUGACCACCAAAACCCCAGCCCAGAUUGAAUGAAGCGGAAAUCAAGGAUUGCCUAGUUUCACAAACUAAGAAAAGUGAUUCAGAAAAGUCAUUAGAGGCUAGCAGCUCUCAAGCUUUGGCGUUGGAUAUUCCAACAGUUGCUCAAAUUCCAGCUCCGAAUUAUUGUCAGAUUCCUUCCAUGGUGGGAAUGCCUGGCCGUGCACUGCUCCUACCAAUAGUGAAUUAUGUGAGCCAAACUUGUCCAUCCCGGUUGCUUGGAACCCAGCAGAAUUUUGGCACUUGUGCUUCUGAUAUUACUCAUCCAUCUGGAAUUCCCUCACGGCCUCACCACAGUGUUUCCCUCACAGUCUAUCUCAUUUCAGCCUUGGGCUUUCAUCAAUUGCAAGAGAUGUUGUAGAGCUUACAAUUGGACAGCCUCAAAUUUCCCCUGGAGCAAACUUAUCAACUCAGACGUCUGAAGCCAUUAGAGUGAAAUGAAAAAUUUUGGUGAGUUGAAGCCUUAUUUUUGGGUUUUGAUUUAAAAAGAAGGCUAAAAUUAGAACAAUGUAUAAGGCAAUUUAUUUUUUACGAUUUAGGGUAUGCUUAAAGAUAUAUUACACUAUCUAGCUUCACAGUACCUUUUUCCUUUUAACUAAUCAUUAAACCUAUGA